CCGUAGGGAAACCGUUAAGUGUGCCGCCUGGGAAGUACGGUCGCAAGGCUAAAACUUAAAGGAAUUGGCGGGGGAGCACCACAAGGGGUGAAGCCUGCGGUUUAAUUGGACUCAACGCCGGGAAAUUUACCAGGGGAGACAGCAGAAUGGCGGUCAGGUUGACGACCUUACCUAACGAGCUGAGAGGAGGUGCAUGGCCGUCGCCAGUUCGUGCUGUGAGGUAUCCUGUUAAGUCAGGCAACGAACGAGAUCCGCACCUUUAUUUGCCACCAAGAAGUUACGACUUCGUUGGGAACACUAAAGGGACCGCCGUUCGAUAAGACGGAGGAAGGAGCGGGCAAAGGCAGGUCAGUAUGCCCCGAAACCCCUGGGCUACACGCGGGCUGCAAUGAUAUGAACAAUGGGCUGUGACUCCGAAAGGAGAAACCAAUCCCGAAAUCAUAUCACAGUGGGGAUUGUCGGCUGUAACCCGCUGACAUGAACGUGGAAUCCCUAGUAAUCGUGUGUCACCAUCGCACGGUGAAUACGUCUCUGCUCCUUGCACACACCGCCCGUCGCUCCAUCCGAGUGUACUAAAAAUGAGGUAUGGUCAAAUUGGUCAUAUCGAGUUUCUAGUAUGCGAGGAGGGAGAAGUCGUAACAAGGUAGCCGUAGGGGAACCUGCGGCUGGAUCACCUCCUA
rnacentral:rRNA from 1 species